AUGGUCACAUCACGUUGAAACCCCGGUGCCUGUACGAUUACCGAAGUUAAGUAACAUCGAGGCUGGUCAGUACCUGGAUGGGUGACCACUUGGGAAUGCCAGGUGCUGUAAG